rnacentral:rRNA from 1 species
UACAGAGACUGCGAGCGUUAUUCGGAUUCACUGGGCGUAAAGGGUGCGCAGGCGGCCGAGUGUGUGAGGCGUGAAAGCCCGGGGCUUAACCCCGGAAUUGCACCUCAAACUACACGGCUAGAGCAUUGGAGAGGGUGGCAGAAUUCAUGGUGUAGCAGUGAAAUGCGUAGAUAUCAUGAGGAAUACCAGAGGCGAAGGCGGCUACCUGGACAAUUGCUGACGCUCAGGCACGAAAGCGUGGGGAGCAAAAGGG